AGGACGAACGCUGGCGGCGUGCCUAACACAUGCAAGUCGAGCGAGGAGAUCCCUUCGGGGAUGAACCUAGCGGCGGACGGGUGAGUAACACGUGGGCAACCUGCCUUAUAGAGGGGAAUAGCCUUCCGAAAGGAAGAUUAAUACCGCAUAACAUUACAUUUUCGCAUGAAGAAGUAAUUAAAGGAGUAAUCCGCUAUAAGAUGGGCCCGCGGCGCAUUAGCUAGUUGGUGAGGUAACGGCUCACCAAGGCGACGAUGCGUAGCCGACCUGAGAGGGUGAUCGGCCACAUUGGGACUGAGACACGGCCCAGACUCCUACGGGAGGCAGCAGUGGGGAAUAUUGCACAAUGGGGGAAACCCUGAUGCAGCAACGCCGCGUGAGUGAUGAAGGUCUUCGGAUCGUAAAGCUCUGUCUUCAGGGACGAUAAUGACGGUACCUGAGGAGGAAGCCACGGCUAACUACGUGCCAGCAGCUGC
rnacentral:rRNA from 1 species